UAGUAAGAAGCAAAAUUUGCAUUUAGUUUCGACCUAAAAUCUUGAUAUUUAAAAUCCUUACUAA
rnacentral:tRNA from 1 species